GACGAACGCUGGCGGCGUGCUUAACACAUGCAAGUCGAACGGUGAAGGUGGGAGCUUGCUCCUGCUGGAUCAGUGGCGAACGGGUGAGUAACACGUGAGUAACCUGCCCUUGACUCUGGGCUAAGCGUUGGAAACGACGUCUAAUACCGGAUCCGAGCUUCAGCCGCAAGGCUAGCAGUUGGCAAGAUUUUUCGGUUAAGGGUGGACUCGCGGCAUAUCAGCUUGUUGGUGAGGUAAGGGCUCACCAAGGCGACGACGGGUAGCCGGCCUGGGAGGGUGACAGGCCACACUGGGACUGAGACACGGCCCAGACUCCUACGGGAGACAGCAGUGGGGAAUAUUGCACAAUGGGCGCAAGCCUGAUGCAGCAGCGCCGCGUGAGGGACGACGGCCUUCGGGUUGUAAACCUCUUUUAGCAGGGAAGAAGCGCAAGUGACGGUACCGGCAGAAAACGCACCGGCUAACUACGUGCCAGCAGCCGCCCGUAA
rnacentral:rRNA from 1 species